rnacentral:rRNA from 1 species
GACGAAGGUGGCGAGCGUUGUUCGGAAUCACUGGGCAUAAAGCGCACGUAGGCGGCGGCGUAAGUUGGAUGUGAAAUCCCCCGGCCCAACCGGGGAACUGCGUCCAGUACUGCGUUGCUUGAGGAUCCAAGGGGUGCAUGGAAUUCCCGGUGGAGCGGUGAAAUGCGUUGAUAUCGGGAGGAACACCAGUGGCGAAGGCGGCCGCCUGGCCUGUAACUGACGCUGAGGCGCGAAAGCGUGGGGAGCGAACCGG